rnacentral:pre_miRNA from 1 species
AAUAGGAUCGUUUUUUGUUUUUCCGUGUUUAACGUUUGACCAUUCGUCUUAUUUAAAAAAAUUGUAUAAAAGCUUAAAAAAAUUAGUCACGCAUAAAGUACUAUUUAUGUUUUAUCAUCUAGUAAGAAUAAAAUAUUAAUCGCAAAAUUUUUUUAAAUAAGAUGAAUGGUCAAACAUUGAACACGGAAAAC